GAUGAAGAACGCAGCGAAAUGCGAUAAGUAGUGUGAAUUGCAGAAUUCAGUGAAUCAUCGAAUCUUUGAACGCACAUUGCGCCCCUUGGUAUUCCAUGGGGCAUGCCUGCUCGAGCGUCAUUUGUACCUUCAAGCUCUGCUUGGUGUUGGGUGUUUGUCUCGCCUCUGCGUGUAGACUCGCCUUAAAACAAUUGGCAGCCGGCGUAUUGAUUUCGGAGCGCAGUACAUCUCGCGCUUUGCACUCAUAACGACGACGUCCAAAAGUACAUUUUUACACUCUUGACCUCGGAUCAGGUAGGGAUACCCGCUGAACUUAAGCAUAUCAAUAAGCGGAGGA
rnacentral:misc_RNA from 1 species